rnacentral:rRNA from 1 species
UUGAGGACUAGUAUGAACGGCUAAAUGAGGGCCCCCCUGUCUCCUGCGACCAAUCAAUGAAUUUGAUCCUUCAGUACAAAAGCUGAGAUACACACAUAAGACGAAAAGACCCUAUGGAGCUUUAAGCCAUUAUACUACCUAACCACAGCCCCCUUUCCACCCCCCUAGUAUAUACUUUCAGUUGGGGCAACUACGGAGCAAAACAAAAACUCCACGAACAAACGUCUAAUACACGCAGUAUUUUAGGCUGCCACGCCACACACCCCAGACCUUAGACCCAGUCUAACUGAGCAACGGACCAAGUUACCCUAGGGAUAACAGCGCCAUCUUCCCCCCAGAGCCCAUAUCCACGGGGAGGCUUACGACCUCGAUGUUGGAUCAGGACCCCCCGGCGGUGCAGCCGCUGCCAAAGGUUCGUUUGUUCAACGACUAACGUCCU